rnacentral:rRNA from 1 species
UUGAUUUCCUUCGGGACUGAUUAUUUUGUGACUGAGUGGCGGACGGGUGAGUAACGCGUGGGUAACCUGCCUUGUACAGGGGGAUAACAGUUGGAAACGGCUGCUAAUACCGCAUAAGCGCACGGUACCGCAUGGUACAGUGUGAAAAACUCCGGUGGUGUGAGAUGGACCCGCGUCUGAUUAGCUAGUUGGCAGGGCAACGGCCUACCAAGGCGACGAUCAGUAACCGACCUGAGAGGGUGACCGGCCACAUUGGGACUGAGACACGGCCCAAACUCCUACGGGAGGCAGCAGUGGGGAAUAUUGCACAAUGGGGGAAACCCUGAUGCAGCGACGCCGCGUGAGCGAAGAAGUAUUUCGGUAUGUAAAGCUCUAUCAGCAGGGAAGAAGAAAUGACGGUACCUGACUAAGAAGCACCGGCUAAAUACGUGCCAGCAGCCGCGGUAAUACGUAUGGUGCAAGCGUUAUCCGGAUUUACUGGGUGUAAAGGGAGCGCAGGCGGAAGGCUAAGUCUGAUGUGAAAGCCCGGGGCUCAACCCCGGUACUGCAUUGGAAACUGGUCAUCUAGAGUGUCGGAGGGGUAAGUGGAAUUCCUAGUGUAGCGGUGAAAUGCGUAGAUAUUAGGAGGAACACCAGUGGCGAAGGCGGCUUACUGGACGAUAACUGACGCUGAGGCUCGAAAGCGUGGGGAGCAAACAGGAUUAGAUACCCUGGUAGUCCACGCCGUANACGAUGAAUACUAGGUGUCGGGAAGCACNGCUUU